AACGUAUGGCUUUGCGUGGCUGGCCCGUUCCUUAGGGGGCGAGUGUCGGUGCAUGCAGGUCAUCCUUCUGGAGAGCGUCUCUGCCCUUGAGUGGGUUGGUUUCGCGAUUCAGAUCAUUUACUGUGAGUAAAUCAGGGUGUUCAAAGCAGGCUUUAAGCUUGAAUGGUUCAGCAUGGAAUAAUAAGAUAGGACUUUGGUUUUAUUUUGUUGGCUGUUGACCAAAGUAAUGAUUGAUAGGGAUAGUUGGGGGUGCUAGUAUUGGGUGGUCAGCGGUGAAAUGCAUGGACCCAUUCAAGACUAACUUAUGCGAAAGCAUU
rnacentral:rRNA from 1 species